CUAGAUAAGAGUGAUGAAGCUAAGUAGUGCUAUUGCUAUUGGCCAGGAAACUGAUAUACACAUGUCCUGAGAGAAACAGCUAGAGCAUUUCAAAUAAAGAAUAGAAUGCUAGUGGCAAACAGGUGAACUGAAAUGGACCUCUUGUUGGUAGAUUCUGAGAACGAAUAACAAGAGCUGAAGGAGCUUUCAACACCGAAAGAAAAAAAUGCUAAUGAACCAGAGCUUUCUGGUACUAAACCAAUAUUCAAAAUCUGUACUUGGACAGACCUAUGAAUCCAACUGCAUAUGUAGCAGAGGAUGGCUUUUUGGGCACCAAUAGAAGUAGAAGGCCUUGGUCCUUCCCUUGGUUUGACUCACAGUUAAAAUAAAUGUGAAAGGACAGUAAAGUAGUUUAUAGAAGAACAGGAGAGGGACCAGUUAGGUAUCUUAUGGUAGUAAACUCUUGAAAUAAAUAAUAUUUUAAAUGUAAAUGUACAUAUUUAUUUGUUUAAAAAAACAAAUAAAAUUUGUAAAAAUAAAAAAAAAAUAUAAGAAAUAAAUGAAAAGAAAACUGACAGCUAAACACAAACACAGAUGUUGACUCAGAAAUCUAAUGGAUCACUGUCAGGGUAUGGUAGUUACAGAUAUAAUAGUGGAAAGACUAGGAUGGUGAAGACUCAACUAGAAACACUUCUCUCUCCCAGAUAUCUGUAUCAGACACAAACUGCACAAUAGAUAUCUAAAGCAUGGAGGAGUUUACUCUGAGCUAGGCACACAAUACUUGUCCUUCCUUUCUUCCUUAGGUCCUUUCUCUUCUUGUCAAAAAGAAUUAAGGCCAUAUGCUCUCAGGAAAACAACUGUGCCCUUCCCAUCACUUGGCUUUUGAUAUAUAUGAAUGAUAUAAACUCUCUGAUUUCCAGGACCCAUAAGAACAGGGAAGUCCAGAUGCUUCUGAGAGGACCCCAAAUCCUGAUUCCCAUUUGUGGAAGACUCAGAUCAGUGCUAUCUGUUCAGAAAUAUCACUCAACCCAUACCAAGGAGUCACUGAGCUUUCAGAAGCACACAUAUUUCUUCCUUUUUUUAGAGCAAAACAGAAGGGAAGCUUCCUUAUCUCCAUAUCUGUUCUCUUCAUCCUUUGUUCUCACUCCCAAAUGGCUGUUUACUCUGAAAUGGAUGCCAUUUACUAAACUCUAGAGGUACUGAAGGAAUACCUGAGAAGCAGAUGCAGUCAUGACAACACUUGUGACAUCACAGAAGAAGACAAAGCUCUCCAGGUUACAAGAGAUUUUUCAGGCAGGGCCUAAUGAUGAUGUCACUGAAAACUGCCAUUGUCUCCCUGCUAAAUAGUUUUCUUUACAUUGACCAGAGUUGAGGGUGCCCUUUCCUGGUUUGUCUCCUAUGAUUCAGUGGAAACAUUUACUCCAUCUCUCUAAAGCUAGAGAUUUCCCUUUGCUUUAUUAGUGGAUACAUGCUCUGAACGGGAAAAUUUAGUCAAGGUCCUGGAAUUGGUAGAAAAGAUCUUGUAACAUGGAGUGGAGGAGAUUCUUCUGGAUAUUAAUUUUAUAACCAGGUACAUUUUGUGAAAUACAGUUCAAUUUUGUAGGUUUUCUCCGUUUCCCAAAGGCCAGUAUUUUCCCUACAGACCUUCAAUUGAAUGUAUAUUUUAUUUCACUUUCGUAUUGUACAUUCCUCGAUAUGGGACUUUAUAAAUAUUGCUGAAUGUGUACUCAAAACUUUUUUUUUCCAAUUCCAUUUUCUGGAAUGAUUUUGGCAACAAAUGUGGCCUAGCUAUAGAAUGAGUAUAAGAGUGUAAAUAUUGUGUACCUACUUGAAAUGAUAAACUCCCAAAUCCUUAAUUUAUCCCAAAAUUAUCAGGGAUCAGUCAAGCAAAGGACAACAUGGACUAUAGAAUUCGAUUCUCUAGUCCCAUUUGAUAUCAGUUCUGCAUUAUCUACCUUACUGUGUUCCCGUGGCCAGACUUGAGGUUUGCGGUUGUUCUACAAUUAUUCAUUCUUCUGGAAUAAUAAGAUACAAGAAGGACAGGGAGAGGAAUUGCUUGAGGUCCAGGGAAACCUCAACUUCAAUAUGUUCAUAAGAAAAGGAGGGAGUCUAUUUGACAUUGUCCUUUGUGGAUUCUACAUUCUUGACUUAGUUAAGCACAAUCCAUGUGAAAAUUCUACUUAUCCACGUAGCGGCAGGAGCCACGCACAGGAAAUAUAUAUAUAAGAUAAGAUUAGAUAAGAUUGAUGACGCUAAGAAGUGCAUUCUGCCAGGCAACAGAUAUAGAUAUUUUUUUUUUUUUGGAGCUGGGGACCGAACCCAGGGCCUUGCGCUUCCUAGGCAAGCUCUCUACCACUGAGCUAAAUCCCCAACCCCAAUAUUUCUAAAGAGACACAGCUAGAGCAUAUGAUAUACAGAAAAGAAUGUGUUUUGUAAAAAUAUGAAAAUAAAAAAGUAAAAUUUCCUGUUACCCUGCUAACUCUGGCACCAAUAUGUCUGAAAUUCUCUGCUAGAUAUCUUGGAGGAAACACAUUCCCACUCCUCGGCUGCACAGUGUUUUUUGCCACCACACACUUUCCUAUACACAAACCCUCACAUAAAAAACACACAACACAAUAAUCUUUGAUCUAGUAGAAUAGAUAUAAUUGCCCACUUAAACAUACAAAUCUGGGUACCAUCCAUCCCGUAGGAACAUUAAUAAUAACAUGUAAAUACACAGAGCAAAAUCUUAGAUUCACUUACCAUGGCUUCUCACUCUGUCAUCUUCCUUUCUCUCCUUUUUCCUCUAGUCUUCUCUUCUUUCAAACUUCUCUCCCGCCCAUUCUUCCUUCUCCUCCCAUGACAACCCUCCUUCUAUCCUGUUCCUACCACUCACAUAUACUUCACAAAUUCAAUAGGCAGGUGGUUCUGGUGAAGUAACCUGAGUCCUGAGUACAGGACUAUGCAGCUGACCUUGGGGCAUUGGAAUUAGUAUCAAACACAGAUAACUUCAGGGCAAACCACAACAUGAACUCUAUUGGACAAAAAGUGAACUGAAAAUGGACUUCUUGUUGGUAGAUUUUGAGAAAGGAUUAGAAGAGGUGAAGGUGCUUUCCACCCCUUAAGAACAAGAAUGCUAAUGAAGCAGAGCUUUCUGGUAGUAGACCAAUGUUCAAAAAAUGUACAUGAACAUAUUUAUGUCUCCAACUACGUAUGUUGUAGAGGAUGACCUUGUUGGACAACAAUGGAAGGAGAACCCUUGGUCCUGCCUAGGUUUGGCUCCCGGUAAAGUAAAUGUCCAGGGGCAGUAACGGUGGUUAUAGGAAAAGGGUAAGGGGACCGGUAAGGAAUCAUAUAGUCUGAAAACUGGGAAAAGAAAUAAUAUUUUAAAUGUAAAUUUAGAAAUAUCCAAUUAAAAAAGCAAUAAAAUUUGUUUAAAAACUAAAAAAAAAUGAUAGAAAUAAAAGAAAAUAAAUCUGCCAGCUAAUCACACCAAUUGAUUCAGUAUUUUAAGGGGUCACUGUCAUGGAAUGGUAUUCAGAGUAAUACAAGUGGAAAGACUGAUAUGAUUAAGUUUCAUCUAAAAGCACUUCUCCUUCCCACAUCUCCGUGUCAGACACGAACUGCAUUAUUAGAAUCCAAUGCAUGCAGGAGUUUACUCUGUGCUGAGGACACAAUACUUGCUUUACUUUCUUCUUUAGGACCUUUCCUUCUUAGCAAAAGGAUACAAGCUAUGAGCUCCUUGGAAAAACUAGAGUGCCCUACCAAAAUCUGACAUUUGGGAUAAAGAAAUGAAAUACAUAAACUGUCUGACUCCCAAGAAAAAUAACAAGCAGGAAAGUCCAGAUGCUUCUGAGAGGCUCCCAGCUCCUGAUUCCCAUAAGUGUGAAGCUCAGAUAAAUGUUAUCUCUUCAGUGAACCUACUCAACCCCUACACAAUACUUAAAGAGCUUACCCAUUGACCACGUAUUCCUUCCUUUUUUUAUACCAAGACAGAAGGCUAGCUUCCUACUCCCCAUGUCUGGUCACUUCAUCCUUUGUGUUCUCCCUCCCAAAUGGCUGUUUACCCCCGAUUAGUUGCCAAUUUGUAAACCCUAGAGGUACUGAAGGAGAAUCUGAGAGGCAGUUGCAGUCAUGACAACACUUGUGACAUCACAGAAGAAGCUUGGGCUCUCCAGGAUACAAGAGAUUUUUCAGGGAGGACUAAUGAUGAUGUCACUGAGAAUUGCCAUAGCCUACCUACUAAACAGCUUCCCUUGCAAUGACCAUAUUUGAGGGUGCCAUUUCCAGAAGUUUCUCCUGUGACACAGUGGAAACCUUUACAUACUAAUCUCUCUAAAGGUCUCCAGUCUUUCCAAUUCUCCUCCAAAUGUGUUGGAGAAGACCCCUCUGGUCGAGGGGAGGUACAACAAGCCCCAUCAAACAAAAUGGUCUCCACAUCUUCUUCUCUUAAAGUCUUGACCUAGAUGCGCAGAAUUCAUGUUAAAAUUCCAGCUAAAAUUAUAGCUGUAGGAGCCAACAAAAGUACAUAUAUAUACAUCAGCCACCGAAACUACACAAGAUUGAUGGAGGUAAGAAAUGCAUUCUGUCAGAUAUAGAUAUUUCCUGAGAGACACAGCUAGAUUAUACAAAUACAGAAGUGAAUGCUAGUGGCAUACCAGUAAACUGGAAAUGGACUUCUUGUUUUUAGAUUUAAAAAAAGAUUACAAGAGCUGAAGGGCUUUAACACUACAAGAACAACAAUGCCAAUGAACCAGAGCUUUCUGAUACUAGAACAAUAUUCAAAGAAUGUAGAUGGACAGAGCUAUGGCUACAACUGCAUAUGUGGAAGAGAAUAGACUUGGUGGGCACCAAUGGAAGGAGAAGUCCUUGGUCCUCCCUAGGUUUGACUCCAAGUUCAAGGACCUUUUCUUCUUGCGAAAAAGUGUAAAGGUCAUGAGUUCUCAGGAAAACAACUGUGCCCUUCACAACACUUGGCUUUUGGAAUAAAGAAAUAAAUGAUAUAAA